AUGCAAGUCGAACGAACCUUCGGGUUAGUGGCGGACGGGUGAGUAACGCGUGAGAAUCUGCCCUCAGGAGGGGGACAACAGCUGGAAACGGCUGCUAAUACCCCAUAUGCCGCGAGGUGAAAUGAAUUUCGCCUGAGGAUGAGCUCGCGUCUGAUUAGCUAGUUGGUGUAGGUAAUGGCUCACCAAGGCAUCGAUCAGUAGCUGGUCUGAGAGGAUGAUCAGCCACACUGGGACUGAGACACGGCCCAGACUCCUACGGGAGGCAGCAGUGGGGAAUUUUCCGCAAUGGGCGAAAGCCUGACGGAGCAACGCCGCGUGAGGGAUGAAGGCCUCUGGGCUGUAAACCUCUUUUAUCAAGGAAGAAGAUCUGACGGUACUUGAUGAAUAAGCCACGGCUAAUUCCGUGCCAGCAGCCGCGGUAAUACGGGAGUGGCAAGCGUUAUCCGGAAUUAUUGGGCGUAAAGCGUCCGCAGGCGGCCCUUCAAGUCUGCUGUUAAAAAGUGGAGCUUAACUCCAUCAUGGCAGUGGAAACUGUUGGGCUUGAGUGUGGUAAGGGCAGAGGGAAUUCCCGGUG
rnacentral:rRNA from 1 species